UACGAAGGGGGCUAGCGUUGUUCGGAAUUACUGGGCGUAAAGGGCGCGUAGGCGGCCUGACAAGUCGGGUGUGAAAGGCCUGGGCUUAACCCGGGAAUUGCGCUCGAUACUGUUAGGCUAGAGUGUGGGAGAGGAUGGCGGAAUUCCCAGUGUAGAGGUGAAAUUCGUAGAUAUUGGGAAGAACACCAGUGGCGAAGGCGGCCAUCUGGACCACAACUGACGCUUAGGCGCGAAAGCGUGGGGAGCAAAC
rnacentral:rRNA from 1 species